GGCAAAAGUACAGAAACUAGAGGAGAGUUUGUGUGCUACUGAAAAAGUCAUCAGUUCUCUGGAGAAGUCUAGAGAUGCUAGCAAGGAACUGGUAACUGACCUCACGAGCCAGAUCCAGGAGCUGAGAACAUCAAUCUGUGAGAAAACAGAAACCAUAGACACCCUGAGGCAAGAACUGAAGGACAUAAAUUGCAAAUACAACUCUGCUUUGGCUGACAAAGAAGAGAGCAAAGGGUUGAUUGAGAGACAGGAAACGGAGAUUCUGGAUCUGAGAGAAACCCUUAGACUGAGAAUAAUCUCUGAAGACAUAGAGGUAACUGUUAACACAACGUGACUGUUUUUGCUUUAUUACUUGUCAAUAUGCAUGUGUGUGCGUGUGUAAGUUCUUAGUGAAUAGAGGAUUUUUUAAAGGAAUAAGUUAUUAUUAGGGCUGUUUUCCCCAGGGUAACCGGUUAGACAGUUAACAGAUAACAGUAACAUUGUUGUAUGUUUUCAUUCAUUUGCGCUUACACCCUGGUGAGUUCCUGUCACUGACCUUCCAGAAGGGUCGCAGAGCAGAAACUGCGUUUCUUUGGGUGUAGCAGCAGGGAGCACAGAGCGGGCCGGUUCACAGGUUAA